GCCGGGAUGGUCUAAUCGGUUAAGGCUUCGCCCCCGGACACGCGAAGGUUGCGGGUUCGAUCCCCGCUCCUGGCC
rnacentral:tRNA from 1 species